rnacentral:lncRNA from 1 species
CGCCGAGGCUCCGCCCCGCACCUGAUUGGCCUCGAGAACCCAAGGAGGCGGUGGGUUAUCUCAGCGCGGCACAAAGGAGGCGCAUUGAGAAAGGGGAGGGGUUGUCAGCGACUUCGAGAGUCUCUGCAUACUCUCCUCCAACAAACAACCAGAUAUCUAGGAAAUAAAAGGAUGCCCAGUGGAGAAAGGUCACAUCGGUCUCCCUGCCUCACAUCUGGUGACACAUCUUCUCUAGGACAGCUCAGGCUACUAAAGAAUUCUCUCUAG